rnacentral:rRNA from 1 species
AUGAUAAGAGACUUUUGGUGGGGGGAUGAGGAUGGACACCGAAAGGUGCACUGGAUGUCGUGGGAGCGAAUGACAAGGCCAAAAAGAGCGGGAGGGAUUGGCUUCAGGGAUAUGCACCUUUUCAACCAAGCACUUCUUGCCAAACAGGGGUGGAGAUUAAUUCGAAAUCCAGAUAGCCUCUGCGCGAGGGUCCUAAAGUCGAAAUACUACCCAAACGGAAACCUUCUAGACAUGGUUUUUGCCUCGAAUGCAUCCCCGGUUUGGAGAGCCAUUGAAUUU